UUUAAAUUACUUAUAUUUAUUUACCACCUUUUCCUCCAAGGAGCUCAAAGGCAUGUGUAUGGCAGACUAGGCCGAGACAGUGACUGGCCCAAGGUCACCCGGUGAGCUUCAUGGCUGAGUAGGGAUUCGAACACUGGUCUCCCAGGUCACAGUCUGACACUAACCAUCACACCAUAGUAGGAACGAACAACAAAUUACACACAAUAAGAACAAAGACAUGCCUUAAAGAAUAUUGCGUCUCCUACAAGGAGACUGGAAAGGUUACUUCAAGGUGGGGGGAAAAGGUGGCUGAAUUUACUUCAGUGAAUCAAUCUGUAAUUGAACAUCUUGAAAUGGAAACUGACUGGUUGCAGGAGUUCUAAAUGAGAACCAGAUUUGGAAUUUUGAAGUCAUUAUAUUACUUUUUAAUUACAUAGAAAUAAAUUGUAUUUGAUCAGCACAUGCACAAUUGAUUUCAUGUUUCAUUAAAGCUACUUCGUGUUAAGUUGCCAACACUAACAGAAACAGAAGUACAAGGAGUUGAAGCCCUGUCAAGACUGAUGGGGCACUCAGGGGGCGAAGUUUGUUCAUGGAUGGGGGAGAGAGGGGGAGCUCAAAGGCCAGUUAAGGAAACCUCCUAUAUAUUGACUUGUCUGCUGAGAAAAACUACCUGCUCAUCUUUCACGGAACCUUAGUGGGUCACAUAGGAUUCUGUGCUAUGCUUUAAGGGACACACUUUGUUCAUGCUAGCAUUCACCAGACAUAUUGGAACUUUACCAUUUCCUGUCACGAAAGGAGCAUAUAACCCUCUCCAUUAAGGAACUCUGCUAAGCUUCCAAGAAAUUCUGAGGUUUCCUAUACAGCGGUACCUCAGUCUACGAACAGCCCUGUUAACGAACUAUUUGGUGUACGAACUCCGCAAAACCGGAAGUAGGUGUGCUGGUUAGCGAACUUUGCCUCGGAAGAUGUACGGAAGCCGAACGGUGGAAGGACACUGGUGGUGGGAGGCCUCAGUAGGGAAAGCGCGCCUCGGUUUAAGAACGCUUUGGUUUAAGAAUGGACUUCCGGAACGAAUUAAGUUCGUAAACCGAGGUACCACUGUAAGAUAAGUUUGAAAACCACUGUACUAAAGAAGGUGUAUGCCAUCUGCUGACCUACGUUGUUACUGGUUAUAAGCCUGCUCUUGUAUUCCAGUUGAAAUCCAGAUACCCAAACUCCCCAGUGAAGGACUGGGAAUGGCUGCAGAUGAAGCAAAAGAGGGUUAAAUGGCCAGUUCAUGAUUGAUGUCGCUUGCAAUUUUGCUUUAUUGCAAACUGUUUUAUUGUUAACCUUACAGAGGCUACGCCUUUAAUUGCAAUAAAUAAAUAAUCAUCGCUAACA